rnacentral:rRNA from 1 species
AUGGGCUCCAUAGACCACGGGCGCCUCAACUCUUGGAUCAUUUUGCUCAUUCCCAAGGUGCCUGGGGCUUUUGACAUCCGCCAGUUCCGUCCAAUCACGGUCAUUAAUGUGAUAUUCCGGAUCCUGGUCAAAGGGUACGCGAAUAGGGUGACCCUUCUUGCCGACCGCAUUACCCACCCCAACCAAUCUCCAUUCAUCCAAGGGCGUUAUAUUCUGGAUGGGGUGCUUGUUCUUCAUGAAGUCCUCCAUGAGGUCUGGUCUAAACACCUCAGGGUGGUUUUCCUGAAGAUCGAUUUCCGUAAGGUGUACGACAUUGUUAGUUGGCCCUUCCUUCGGGAAAUUCUG